CCCUUGUCUUUUUUUGUUUUCAGGUCAUUGUUGGGGAGGAAACACUGCUCUAAUCAAUAUCAAGAUUGGAGAAUUCACUUCAUGUACAGUUCCACUUGAGUGUUCGUGAUAACGCAACACUUUGACGCACUGGAGUUUUGACUGGUUCUUUCUUAAACCAAGUGCGUGAGUUUUAGAUUUUUCAGACCUGUCUGGAAAGUAGUGAGGCUUAGAGAAUUUUUGACUGCUCACACACUUCAAAUUUCCUUCUCGUGUUGGACAUAAAACAAACAGACGCACUCGCCCGCACACAUACUCACACACACACGCACACAUACACACACACACACACACACACACACACA